rnacentral:lncRNA from 1 species
AAGAGGAUCAAACAGGUUUAAAGCUUCAGGAGUGUUGAUUUGGCAUGAAAAAUGCACCAUAGAUAAUGGUAAGAAUUACCGUUAUCAACAACCCCAAACUUGAAACUUUGCUUGUCCUCAAGCAAAAAGGGCAAACAAGGCUUAGACAAACAGUUCAAUUUCAAUGAAUCAACAUUCAAGAUAGUCAAGAAUUAUUCGAACUUGCUCUUCAUGGUAAAAUCACUCUUGAGAAGAUGAGCCUUUGACAAAGAGAAUUGCAACCAUGGUGCUCACAGAACAAUAAUCACAAGAAAUAUGUCAGGUUUUAAAAGGGGUCAACAAACAUGGCAAAAGUGUUCUCAACAUUAACAUGAACCAUCUCCUCACCAAGGAAACUGUUUCUCUCAAGCACACUGGUGUAUAGGGAUGCGUGUUUCUCACUCUUAGCAACACAAAAGUCACACAAUUCAACUUUGCCUUUCAUUUCUACCAUAAUGAAAACAUUUACCUGCGAGUUGGCAUCACAAGGACUUUCAAGGCUAGUAAUUUGGUUGGGCUAAGAAAGAAAAAUUGGUUUUUCUGGACAACAAAGCACCUUGAGCUAAGGAAGCAUUCAAUUCAGCACAAUUCAACAAUUCCACUUCUUAACCUCAAGAACUUGCAACCAAUUUUCAAUUCUUUUUCCAACUUUUCAUCCAAUGAUUCUUUUUCUUGAUCUUGUUCCUUUUUCUUCUUUUUCUUCAAAUUUUUCUUUUUCUUUUCUUGUCAAUUUUUUUUUUUUGUAGCAUCAACCACCCCAAACUUAAACGUUUUCCUCUACCAAAAUGAAUGCUUCACUUCUCUCAAGGUAAAGAGGUUAAAGUUUGCAAUGUUGGUCACCAGGCUCAAGAAUGGGUUCACUGUCUCUUCCAAGUUCGCAGUGUUAAGG